UUAGGUCCAUGCUGAAUGAUAAUAACCCAAGAUUAUAACAUAGUUUUGAAGGUAGAGAGGGAGAAGAAAGGUUGGACACUAAACAUAAUAUGAAAACUUGUACACGUAUCCAGUGCCUCUUUAAUUUCUCAGGAUUCCCAGGCAUCACGUCAUCUGCUCCUGAUGUUCAACCAUUGACAUCAUCAAGGCUUAAUGAUCUGGGAAUCACCUGAAGCUAAUGAUCCUCCUGACAUAUUGUCAGAAGAUCAAUAUGUCCAGUGCUACGUCAUGAUGCCUACAUCAUUCACCUCACCUCAUUUCAUCAGGCAUCCACUGAGGGGUCUUGGAACGUGUCCCCCAUGGAUAAGGGGAGAAGACUACUGUACUAGUGAAAUCCUUAUACAUUUGUGUAAUUGAUCAAAUCUUUAACCAGUGUUUUGCUGUUGAAACUCUAGAAAC